rnacentral:rRNA from 1 species
GUGGUUUGAUUCUGGCUCAGAUUGAACGCUGGCGGAUGCUUUACAUGCAAGUCGAACGGCAGCACGGACUUCGGUCUGGUGGCGCAGUGGCGAACGGGGUGAGUAAUGUAUCGGAACGUGCCUAGUAGCGGGGGAUAACUACGCGAAAGCGUAUUACUGGCCGCAUGUACACUGGGGAAAGCGGGGACCUCGGCCUCGCACUAUUAGAGCGGCCGAUAUCGGAUUAGCUAGUUGGUGGGGUAACGGCUCAAGGCGACGAUCCGUAGCUGGUUUGAGAGGACGACCAGCCACACUGGGACUGAGACACGGCCCAGACUCCUACGGAGGCAGCAGUGGGGAAUUUGGACAAUGGGAAACCCGAUCCAGCCAUCCCGCGUGCGAUGAAGGCCUUCGGGUUGUAAAGCACUUUUGGCAGGAAAGAACGGCAUCGGAUAAUACCCGUGCAACUGACGGUAUCACCUGAGAAUAAGCACCGGCUAACUACGUGCCAGCAGCUGCGGUAAUACGUAGGGUGCAAGCGUUAAUCGGAAUUAUCAUGCAAAGCGUGCGCAGGCGUUCGGAAAGAAAGAUGUGAAAUCCCAGAGCUUAACUUGAACUGCAUUUUUAACUAUUACCGAGCUAGAUGUGUCAGAGGGAGGUGGAAUUCCGCGUGUAGCAGUGAAAUGCGUAGAUAUGCGGAGAACACCGAUGGCGAAGGCAAAAUUCUUGGGAUAAAUACCUCGACAUCGCUCAUGCACGAAAGCGUGGGGAGCAAACAGAUUAGAUACCCCGGUAGUCCACGCCCUAAACGAUGUCAACCAGCUGUUAGCUCGGCCUGGUAGCGCAGCUAACGCGGUGAAGUUUAACGCCUGGGGAGUACGGUCGCAAGAUUAAAACUCAAAGGAAUUGACGGGGACUCGCACAAGCGGUGGAUGAUGUGGAUUAAUUCGAUGCAACGCGAAAACCUUUAACACUACCCUUGACAUGUCUGAAUCCCGAAGAGAUUUGGGAGAAAGUGCUCUCGCAAGAGAACCGGAACACAGGCGCGUAUGGCUGUCGUCAGCUCGUGUCGUGAGAUGUUGGGUUAAGUCCCGUAACGAGCGGCAACCCUUGUCAUUAGUUGUCAUUGAAAGGGCACUCUCUAAUGAGAUCGCCGGUGACAAACCGGAGGAAGGUGGGGAUGACGUCAAGUCCUCAUGGCUCCCGCGGUAGGGCUUCACACGUCAUACAAUGGUCGGGACAGAGGGUCGCCAACCCGCGAGGGGAGCCAAUCCCAGAAACCCGAUCGUAGUCCGGAUCGCAGUCUGCAACUCGACUGCGUGAAGUCGGAAUCGCUAGUAAUCGCGGAUCAGCAUGUCGCGGUGAAUACGUUCCCGGGUCUUGUACAGACACCGCUCAUCGCCACCAUGGGAGUGGGUUUUACCAGAAGUAGUUAGCCUAACCGUAAGGAGGGCGGAUUACCACGGUAGUAUCCAUGACUGGGGUGAAGUCAACAAGGUAA